UUUGAAACUGUCUGGAGUGUGUUCCUUUAAAACUGGAGCAGUCAAUGUGCUGUGCAAUGUCAAGAGGUAACCCAAGGAAGAAGAGCGAAUGAAAGACUGAGUCCAUCACCCAUUUAUCAAGAGUAAGGUGCAUGAAAUUGGCUUUUAACCUUCCAGUUAGGAGAUUUAAUUGGAAAUCAUGCUUUUGCCAGGGGAGAGGAGGGGGGAGGAAGGUGUCCAAACAGCAUGAUUAAUGACUUUUGGGACAUGAGACUUUGAGCUAAUGAGAGACUCGGGAGGGGCUGAGGUUCAGGUGACUAGCCAAUAAGGACAGGAAGACUGGAGGAAUAAGAUCUGCAACAUUAAAUGGACAGAUUACACUUAUCUGUUGGACAUGAGUGGAAACAUGUACCAGUGAGGGUAGCUGGUCUGGAACAUGGAGCAACAGAUGUCACCAUGGCCCUUUUGUGAAAGAGCAUUACCCUGCAGUCUUUAACACACCCAGCGCCAUGCAGGAAUCACCUCCCGCACCAAUGCAGCCCACAACAGAUGGACAAACAGAGGAACAGAUAGAGGGUAAAUGAGAAGGCCAGUUCACACAGCGUGUUUCAACAUGGAUGCUGAAGCUGGUGCCCAAUCUGAAACCAUUCAGCACAUUCCCACCACAGAAGAGGCAGUUCUGGACCAUAGAAUUUGAGGAUCCCAAAACAGGAGCACUAUGGCCAGUGUAAAUCUAUUCAGUGUAAUUAACACGUUUUUUGUUUUUUUUCCCUUCGUCAACAAUAACAAAGACAAAACAACAACAACAACAAAAAGUGUAUCAUGAUGAUAACUAAAAAAUAAAUUAUUAAAAAUCUAACA
ensembl:lncRNA